ACACUGCUGACGAGUCCCAAAUAGGACGGAACAACUGUCCAGUGC
rnacentral:hammerhead_ribozyme from 1 species